rnacentral:rRNA from 1 species
AACGAACGCUGGCGGCAUGCCUAACACAUGCAAGUCGAACGAUUGCCUUCGGGUGAUAGUGGCGCACGGGUGCGUAACGCGUGGGAAUCUGCCCUUAGGUUCGGAAUAACAGCUGGAAACGGCUGCUAAUACCGGAUGAUAUCGCGAGAUCAAAGAUUUAUCGCCUGAGGAUGAGCCCGCGUUGGAUUAGGUAGUUGGUGGGGUAAAGGCCUACCAAGCCGACGAUCCAUAGCUGGUCUGAGAGGAUGAUCAGCCACACUGGACUGAGACACGGCCCAGACUCCUACGGGAGGCAGCAGUGGGGAAUAUUGGACAAUGGGCGCAAGCCUGAUCCAGCAAUGCCGUGUGAGUGAUGAAGGCCCUAGGGUUGUAAAGCUCUUUUACCCGGGAAGAUAAUGACUGUACCGGGAGAAUAAGCCCCGGCUAACUCCGUG